rnacentral:lncRNA from 1 species
UUAAACGGCGAUCUUUGCUCAGUUAGGAGUGAGACUUUUACGUAUUUCCAAUGCGAGUUCAUCGCGCGAGCGCGGGAUUUUCAAAUUUCAAAUAACCGACAUGAGCGUUGCCCCUCGGUCGGUUUGGAUGCGACGAGGAUUUUACGAGUCAGCGGCAUUUGUUCAGGUUGGUGCAAUAUUUUCUGACAUAUACUCUCCGUCCGCAGGUGUUAGAGCAGAGAACUACUGGAAACGGAAAACAGAAGUACAGAGACUUGCCCUACUGAAAAGGUAACCCAUGAACAUUAAAUAGAAAUGUGCUGUCAUGCUAUGCAUUUCCUGAGGUAAUUUACACGAACCUACCAAAAGGGUGUUUGAGUUAUUUCACUCUACAUAUUGUUUGCAUUGUAUAUCGUAUUAUCAUAAAUCUAUUAUUUGUUUCAUACGGUAAAGGAAAAUAAUCAAAUUACUUACACAAGUAUUUGUUUAAUUAAGCUUUAACAUUUGUACCUUUUUCUAAGAUUGUGUACUCAUUUCACAGCACAUAAUUGAUUUCCUAAUUUAUUACAGCUAUUUUGACUUGAAACGUGUUCUUUAUCAUCUAAAAUGUGUCUCUUGGUGUUUACCUCCAAUGGCCAUUCUGUGAAAGUGUCCCAUUCUAGAGCUGAGAAGAGACAGCAGGAAAGGGAAUCAUCUGCUAGUGUCGCUCCAGAUGUCUACAUGUCCACAAGUUGUUUAAGAAAAAGUAAGGUACGACUAUUGCAAACACAAGGCAAGAAGUUAUCAGAGAUGAACCCUUCAUCACCGAGUUCAAAACCAGAUGGCCUGCUCUCUUCUGUGUUUCUGAGAAUAAAUUUAAGAGGACUACAACAGUUUGCUGCAACAGUUCUUCUCCAUGCUGGAUGGUUAUUCUUCAGACCUGAAAACGGUGUUUGGCAAGGAAGGCGGCAUUCAAGGACAAAAGAUUAAGAGCAUCAUGGUUCCCAUAACCCAGACUAACUCCAUUGAUGUCAGAAGAGUACAUCCUUUAAGCCCAGUGUGUGUUCCUCAAUGAAGAUCCUGGCAACCUUGUGAAAUAAUGGAUGGUAAGAAUGUUUUUUUUUUUUUUUUUCAUGUAAGUUUAAAAUUUCAAAGUGAUUUAUAUAUGCUUUAAAAGUUGAAGUGUUAUAUAACAUCAUCCGCUUUUUUAAUUUUACAUUUCAGAUCGUGGACGCCUUGAAGAAGCCAUGAUAGAGACAAUUCUUGAAGUUUUUUUCAUUCACAAAGAUGCAGAGGCAGAUGAUGACCCUGAAGAUGUAGUCAUCGUUUCAAGUCCUGGAUGAGUUGGGUAGUGUCCCACUUGCUGUGUUGUUGUUUGCUCUUGUUAUAUGCUCUCAACCUCAGCUACCCUCCACUAAAAGUUGUUUGAAAUAUUGGCCCAAUGCUGUAUGUACAAUACUGGAUGUUAGUGACAUUUUGUAGCUGCCUUUGACAUUUGAAAGCUGUUUUAUCGUUUUUAUGAAGCUUAUAAAGUAUUCUAACCAGUCUAAAUCCAAUGUGCUUUGUGUCUUCUCCAACCUACACACCAGCUGGGGAUAUAUGUUAGUUUGCAUAAUAGAAAUACUGUUUCAAAGAUUACUUUAUUUGUAUGUAAUUUUGAAAAGCUAAUCUUGGCACAAAACAUUUGAUAACUUUACAUUGGUUGUGUUAGUAUAGCAUAAUUUAUUAAUUAAUUUAAAUUAACUUGUUACUACCCUAUAAAAUAAAGUAACAAGUAUUAAUAUUAUACA